UACGAAGGGGGCUAGCGUUGCUCGGAAUCACUGGGCGUAAAGCGCACGUAGGCGGAUCUUUAAGUCAGGGGUGAAAUCCUGGAGCUCAACUCCAGAACUGCCUUUGAUACUGGGGAUCUCGAGUCCGGAAGAGGUGAGUGGAACUCCGAGUGUAGAGGUGGAAUGCGUAGAGAUCGGGAAGAACACCCGUGGCGAAGGCGGCGUGCUGGGUUGCAACUGACGCUGAGAUGCGAAAGUGUGGGGAGCAAACGGG
rnacentral:rRNA from 1 species